GAGGAGCCCGCGCACGAUUAGCUAGUUGGUAGGGUAACGGCCUACCAAGGCUUUGAUCGUUAGCUGAUCUGAGGGGAUGGCCAGCCACACUGGAACUGAGACACGGUCCAGACUCCUACGGGAGGCAGCAGUGGGGAAUCUUGCACAAUGGGCGAAAGCCUGAUGCAGCGACGCCGCGUGGGGGAUGAAGCAUUUCGGUGUGUAAACCCCUUUCGACCCGGACGAAUGCCUCGCAAGAGGAGUGACGGUACGGGUAUAAGAAGCCCCGGCUAACUACGUGCCAGCAGCCGCGGUAAGACGUAGGGGGCCAGCGUUGUUCGGAAUUACUGGGUGUAAAGGGUUCGUAGGCGGUGUGGCAAGUUGGGAGUGAAAUCUCUGGGCUCAACCCAGAGGCUGCUUCCAAAACUGCUGUGCUUGAGUGUGGGAGAGGCGCGUGGAAUUGCAGGUGUAGCGGUGAAAUGCGUAGAUAUCUGCAGG
rnacentral:rRNA from 1 species